rnacentral:rRNA from 1 species
AGAACGAACGCUGGCGGCAUGCCUAAUACAUGCAAGUCGAACGAACUCUUCGGAGUUAGUGGCGCACGGGUGCGUAACGCGUGGGAAUCUGCCCCUUGGUUCGGAAUAACAGUUGGAAACGACUGCUAAUACCGGAUGAUGACGAAAGUCCAAAGAUUUAUCGCCAAGGGAUGAGCCCGCGUAGGAUUAGCUAGUUGGUGAGGUAAAGGCUCACCAAGGCAACGAUCCUUAGCUGGUCUGAGAGGAUGAUCAGCCACACUGGGACUGAGACACGGCCCAGACUCCGUACGGGAGCAGCAGUAGGGAAUAUUGGAAC